rnacentral:rRNA from 1 species
UGAAACCGUCUAGAGGCAAACGGAGAGGACCGUAUGGUCCGCCCGUCGGAUUCAGUCCGCCUGUGCGGCGUCCGCGCCGGCCGCGCAUCCCUCGUGGGAGCGCGCCGGCGUCGGCCACGUCGUGCGGCGGCCGUACUUUCGGCGGGCGGAGCGCCACGACCGGUUCGUCGGCGGCGAGAAACUCCCGGGCAAGGUGACCUUCGUCUCGGCGCAGGAGCAUACAGGCCCGGUGAGCGUCGGCCCGUCGGCGGACCGAGGAAGACCGUCGCGGAGCGGCGUCGACCGCCCGUCGUGUGGUGGCGUUCGACUCGGGGGGACUGGUUCCAGUGCCCUCGGACCGCGCUGCCGCAGCGGCGGGACGGCCCGGCGUCGCGCCUGGGGUCGGUGGCGAAACGGCCGGCAACCUGUCCGACCCGUCUUGAAACACGGACCAAGGAGUCUAACAUGUGCGCGAGUCGUUGGGCGCUACGAAACCCGAAGGCGCAAUGAAAGUGAAGGCCCGGUCUCCGGCCGGCCUGGGUGGGAUCCGGGCGCCCUCGGGCGUCCGGCGCACCACCGGCCCGUCUCGUUCGCCGCGUCGAAGAGGCGGCGCAAGAGCGUACACGUUGGGACCC